rnacentral:rRNA from 1 species
AAAUUCUUCUUUUAAAAUUUAUCUUAAUUCAACAUCGAGGUCACAAAUAUUUUUAUAUAUAAGAUCUACAAAAAAAUUUUAUGCUGUUAUCCCUAAGGUAAUUAAUUUUCAUUUAAAUAAAAUUUAUUUAUUUUAAAUAUCAUAAAUUAAUGUUUACUAAUAAUAUUUAAAGUUAUUUAAAUUUAAAAA